rnacentral:rRNA from 1 species
GUAGGUGGCAAGCGUUGUCCGGAAUUAUUGGGCGUAAAGCGCGCGCAGGCGGGGUCCUUUAAGUCUGAUGUGAAAGCCCACGGGCUCAACCGUGGAGGGUCAUUGGAAACUGGGGGACUUGAGUACAGAAGAGGAAAGCGGAAUUCCAAGUGUAGCGGUGAAAUGCGUAGAGAUUUGGAGGAACACCAGUGGCGAAGGCGGCUUUCUGGUCUGUAACUGACGCUGAGGCGCGAAAGCGUGGGGAGCAAACAGGAUUAGAUACCCUGGUAGUCCACGCCGUAAACGAUGAGCGCUAAGUGUUAGGGGGUUUCCGCCCCUUAGUGCUGCAGCUAACGCAUUAAGCACUCCGCCUGGGGAGUACGGCCGCAAAGGCUG